rnacentral:rRNA from 1 species
AUUGAACGCUGGCGGCAUGCCUUACACAUGCAAGUCGAACGGCAGCACGGGGGCAACCCUGGUGGCGAGUGGCGAACGGGUGAGUAAUGCAUCGGAACGUGCCCAGUAGUGGGGGAUAACCAGUCGAAAGACUGGCUAAUACCGCAUACGACCUAAGGGUGAAAGCGGGGGACCGUAAGGCCUCGCGCCAUUGGAGCGGCCGAUAUCAGAUUAGGUAGUUGGUGGGGUAAAGGCCUACCAAGCCAACGAUCUGUAGCUGGUCUGAGAGGACGACCAGCCACACUGGGACUGAGACACGGCCCAGACACCUACGGGAGGCAG